CACGCCGUAAACGAUGUCAACUAGUUGUUGGGUUCCUUGUGGACUUAGUAACGCAGCUAACGCAUUAAGUUGACCGCCUGGGGAGUACGGCCGCAAGGUUAAAACUCAAAUGAAUUGACGGGGGCCCGCACAAGCGGUGGAGCAUGUGGUUUAAUUCGAAGCAACGCGAAGAACCUUACCUGGCCUUGACAUGUAGCGAAUCUUUCAGAGAUGAGGGAGUGCCUUCGGGAACGCUAACACAGGUGC
rnacentral:rRNA from 1 species